rnacentral:lncRNA from 1 species
GCCCCAAUGGUGACUCAGUGGUGCCCCAAUGGUGCCUCCGGGGUGGCUCAGUGGUGCCCCACUUGUGAGUCAGUAGUGCCCCACUUGUAAGUCAGUGAUGCCCCAGGGGUGGCUCAGUGGUGCCCCAGUAGUGACACAGUGGUGCCCCACUUGUAAGUCAGUGGUGCUGCAGUGGUGACUCAGUGGUGCCCCAAUGGUGACUCAGUGGUGCCCCAGUAGUGACUCAGUGGAGCCCCAAUGGUGACUCAGUGGAGCCCCAAUGGUGACACAGUGGUGCCCCAGUAGUGACGCAGUGGUGCCCCAAUGGUGCUGCAGUGGUGACUCAGUGGUGCCCCAGUAGUGACGCAGUGGUGCCCCAAUGGUGACUCAGUGGUGUCUCAGUGGAGCCCCAAUGGUGACUCCGUGGUGCCCCAAUGGUGACUCAGUAGUGCCCCGAUGGUGCCCCGAUGGUGCCUCAGUGGUGACUCAGUGGAGCCCCAAUGGUGACACAGUGGUGCCCCAGUAGUGACGCAGUGGUGCCCCAAUGGUGACUCAGUGGUGCCCCAAUGGUGAGUCAGUAGUGCCCCACUUGUAAGUCAGUGAUGCCCCAGGGGUGGCUCAGUGGUGCCCCAGUAGUGACACAGUGGUGCCCCACUUGUAAGUCAGUGGUGCCCCAAUGGUGACUCAGUGGUGCCCCAAUGGUGACUCAGUG